rnacentral:rRNA from 1 species
UACGGGGGGGGCAAGCGUUGUUCGGAAUUACUGGGCGUAAAGGGUUCGUAGGUGGCCUGCUAAGUCAGACGUGAAAUCCCUCAGCUUAACUGGGGAACUGCGUCUGAGACUGGUGGGCUUGAGUGCAGGAGAGGAACGCGGAAUUCCAGGUGUAGCGGUGAAAUGCGUAGAUAUCUGGAGGAACACCGGUGGCGAAGGCGGCGUUCUGGACUGUUACUGACACUGAUGAAUGAAAGCCAGGGGAGCAAACGGG